rnacentral:rRNA from 1 species
AACGAACGCUGGCGGCAGGCUUAACACAUGCAAGUCGAACGGGUGUAGCAACACAUCAGUGGCAGACGGGUGAGUAACACGUGGGAACCUUCCUAGGGGUACGGAACAACUCAGGGAAACUUGAGCUAAUACCGUAUACGUCCGUGAGGAGAAAGAUUUAUCGCCCUUAGACGGGCCCGCGUCGGAUUAGGUAGUUGGUGGGGUAACGGCCUACCAAGCCUACGAUCCGUAGCUGAUCUUAGAGGAUGAUCAGCCACACUGGGACUGAGACACGGCCCAGACUCCUACGGGAGGCAGCAGUGGGGAAUCUUGGACAAUGGGCGCAAGCCUGAUCCAGCCAUGCCGCGUGAGUGAAGAAGGCCUUAGGGUUGUAAAGCUCUUUUACCAGGGACGAUAAUGACGGUACCUGGAGAAUAAGCCCCGGCAAACUUCGUGCCAGCAGCCGCGGUAACAC